CUUGACGGAGCCCAGCCACAGGGGCAGGUCCGCCUCGCGGUUCUGGCCGUACGUGGCGAGCAGCGCCUGCGCCUC
rnacentral:antisense_RNA from 1 species